rnacentral:lncRNA from 1 species
GCGAGAUUCGACGAGUUACCGGAAGAAUUAAGAUGUUGUGCUGGUGGAGAUGAAGGUACUCGGCGAGAUUAGCCGGAGAGUGAAUAAUUUGGAGAGGAAUGUGAAAGGAUGGAGUUUAAGAAUUAGGAAUUUGAUAAGUUUUAUUUCAUCCAGGCAAUCACGUUUUUAUACCCAUUACACAUUUUGUAAAAUUAAAAACUACUGGGGUUUCUUUAAUAAAAUAAAUAUAAAUUUAAGAAUUGGGGAUUUAGGGAAAUCACGAUGAUUUAAACCCUGCCCAAAUCAAAAUCGUUCAGCCAUCCGGGUGCGCGUCUGUUGCGUGUACUUCUCCG